rnacentral:rRNA from 1 species
GACGAACCACCCAAACGUUAUUCGGAAUUACUGGGCUUAAAGAGUGCGUAGGCGGCCUUGAAAGUAGGGUGUGAAAUCCCACAGCUCAACUGUGGAACUGCGCUCUAAACUACAUGGCUAGAGGGAUAUAGAGGUGAGCGGAACUGAUGGUGGAGCGGUGAAAUGCGUUGAUAUCAUCAGGAACACCGGAGGCGAAGGCGGCUCACUGGGUAUCUUCUGACGCUGAGGUACGAAAGCUAGGGGAGCGAACGGG